GCAUGGCAAGCAUGGACUCCGCUCAGCUGUACACUGUUGUUGUGAGCAUUACAAACACCUCGUGCCUUAUCCUGCAGCAUUUGCUAGGCAGGAGCUG